AUUCGUCACCAUACAAAAGAUAAGAAAAAACGAUUUGUAAAUUUAAAGUUUUCUGUAAAAUUAAAUUGAAAAUUAAAAGACAGAUAAAAAGAAGAAAGAUGAUGAGUUUAUUAAUAUUGAAAUUAGUUUUCAAUAUAUCAGAAAAUGUAAAAGAUUGCAAGAAUAUAUUUUAAAAAAUAAAUAGUGAAAAUAGUACAUUCCAUGGAUUUAAGGGAGUAGAAAUUAAAUCUUGCCAAUUAAUUUGUGAUAUUCAUUUAAUUUGAAAAUUGUAUGUGUCAUUAAGCAAAGUGUUCAUUAAAAACAUACAUACAUCUUCAUUUUCAUCUGUCCAUUAUGUUUAUACAUUUUACAUAAAUUGUUCAUUUUAAUUGCUGAUGUAAAAAACUGUUUAUAAAAAAUAAGUUUCUUAAGUGUUUUUGAAAUUCUUCAAAUGAAGAAAAUUUUGGGGGAAAAUUCUGAUCCUAAUUUCUAAUUAUGAGAUAUAUAUUUUUGAAAAAAGCAAGAUUUUAUUAUUUGACAUCAUUUAUAAAGAUUUAUAUAUAAAAAAAAUUAAAUAUUUUUGUGAGAGUGUAACUAUUAGAAUGUGUUUUAAGCAUUUCUGUUUCAAUUCAACUUCCAAUCAUUUAAAAUUUUAACAUUUCCAAUUCAUCUAUCAUUCCAAUGCAAGUUUAGGUCAUAGAUAAAAAAAAAUCAUAUUUACUCUAUGUUAAUACUGGAUAACAUACUGCUGAUAUACAAGUAAUGUUUACUUUAUUUUUUCCACAAUUCUAUGUGCAAAUAAAGACUUUUAUAAAACUAAUAAAUUUGGUCAAAGGGAGAUAACUUAAAUGUAGAAGUUAUUAUUUUGUAAAAAAAUUAUGUUAAUUAAAGGGAGGUUAUCAUGGCAUGAAAUUAUGAAGCUAAAGAUGUUUCUUGAUUUUAAUUUUUUAAACUUUUUAUGAUUAAACCAUAAUAUAUUCAUUUACUUCAUUCCAUAUCUUUCAUAAAAAUGAAGCAUUUUAAAAAUAGCCUGUAACUUUUUAUAUUAAAGAUGAAAUGAAAUAUCAGCAGAAAAACAAUGUAUUAAAAAUGCAUGAAAAUAUACCUAGCUAAUGAUCAAAAUGUUUAUAAACCUAUGCAUUUAUUUAAAAUAUAGACAUUGUCUUGGCAAGAAUUUGUAUCUGUUUACAGAUAAAAAUGAUAUUGUUUCUAUUAAAGAAAUAAAAAAUAAUGAA
rnacentral:lncRNA from 1 species